CAGCUUGUUGGUGGGGUAAUGGCCUACCAAGGCGACGACGGGUAGCCGGCCUGAGAGGGCGACCGGCCACACUGGGACUGAGACACGGCCCAGACUCCUACGGGAGGCAGCAGUGGGGAAUAUUGCACAAUGGGCGAAAGCCUGAUGCAGCGACGCCGCGUGGGGGAUGACGGCCUUCGGGUUGUAAACCUCUUUCAGUAGGGAAGAAGCGAAAGUGACGGUACCUGCAGAAGAAGCGCCGGCUAACUACGUGCCAGCAGCCGCGGUAAUACGUAGGGCGCAAGCGUUGUCCGGAAUUAUUGGGCGUAAAGAGCUUGUAGGCGGUUUGUCGCGUCUGGUGUGAAAACCCAUCGCUUAACGGUGGGCUUGCAUCGGGUACGGGCAGACUAGAGUGCGGUAGGGGAGAUUGGAAUUCCUGGUGUAGCGGUGGAAUGCGCAGAUAUCAGGAGGAACACCGAUGGCGAAGGCAGAUCUCUGGGCCGUAACUGACGCUGAGAAGCGAAAGCAUGGGGAGCGAACAGGAUUAGAUACCCUGGUAGUCCAUGCCGU
rnacentral:rRNA from 1 species